GACGUAGGGCGCGAGCGUUGUCCGGAUUUAUUGGGCGUAAAGAGCUCGUAGGCGGCUUGUUGCGUCGACCGUGAAACCCGUGGCUUAACUGCGGGCUUGCGGUCGAUACGGGCGGGCUGGAGUUCGGUAGGGGAGACUGGAAUUCCUGGUGUAGCGGUGAAAUGCGCAGAUAUCAGGAGGAACACCGGUGGCGAAGGCGGGUCUCUGGGCCGAUACUGACGCUGAGGAGCGAAAGCGUGGGGAGCAAACAGG
rnacentral:rRNA from 1 species